GACGAACGCUGGCGGCGUGCCUAAUACAUGCAAGUCGAGCGCGGGAAGCAAGCAAUCACCCUUCGGGGUGAGCGCUUGUGGAACGAGCGGCGGACGGGUGAGUAACACGUGGGCAACCUGCCUGUGAGACUGGGAUAACCCCGGGAAACCGGGGCUAAUACCGGAUAGCUCUUUUCUUUGCAUAAAGAGAAGAUGAAAGGCGGCUUUUAGCUGUCACUCACAGGUGGGCCCGCGGCGCAUUAGCUGGUGGGUGGGGUAAUGGCCCACCAAGGGGACGAUGCGUAGCCGACCUGAGAGGGUGAUCGGCCAGCACGGGAAUGGGCCACGGCCCAGGCUCCUACGGGAGGCAGGAGUAGGGAAUCAUCCGCAAUGGACGAAAGUCUGACGGUGCAACGCCGCGUGAGUGAUGAAGGUUUUCGGAUCGUAAAACUCUGUUGUCAGGCAAGAACACGUGCCGUUUGAAGAAGGCGGUGCAUUGACGGUACCUGACCAGAAAGCCCCGGCUAACUACGUGCCAGCCGCCGCCGUAAAAC
rnacentral:rRNA from 1 species